rnacentral:rRNA from 1 species
AUUGAACGCUGGCGGAAUGCUUUACACAUGCAAGUCGAACGGCAGCACGGACUUCGGUCUGGUGGCGAGUGGCGAACGGGUGAGUACUACAUCGGAACGUGCCCAGGCGUGGGGGAUAACGUAGCGAAAGCUACGCUAAUACCGCAUACGAUCUAAGGAUGAAAGCGGGGGAUCGCAAGACCUCGCGCGAUUGGAGCGGCCGAUGGCAGAUUAGGUAGUUGGUAGGGUCAAGGCCUACCAAGCCGACGAUCUGUAGCUGGUCUGAGAGGAUGAUCAGCCACACUGGGACUGAGACACGGCCCAGACUCCUACGGGAGGCAGCAGUGGGGAAUUUUGGACAAUGGGCGCAAGCCUGAUCCAGCCAUUCCGCGUGCAGGAUGAAGGCCUUCGGGUUGUAAACUGCUUUUGUACAGAACGAAAAGGCUCUGGUUAAUACCCGGGGCUCAUGACGGUACUGUAAGAAUAAGCACCGGCUAACUACGUGCCAGCAGCCGCCGUAA